UUCCUCAGCCAGUGUCUCUACCUUCACCGCUGGUUCUUCCGGCUGUAUUGAUGGUUCUUUAGGGGCUGAUUCAAGCAAAGGUGAAACAGCCCCAGUCUCUUUCCCGUCUGUAAGCUUUUUUUCCGCAGAAAUUAGAGCAUGACCUUCUGGCUCUUCGGUUGCCUUUGCCGGUGCUGCCUCUGCGAGAUUUUCUUCUUGUACGGGUAUUGUUUCCUCAGCCAGUUUCUCUAUCAUUGCGGCUGGUUCUUCCGGCUCUAUUAAUGGUUCUUUAGGCACAGAUUCAAGCAAAGGUGAAACAUCCCCAGUCUUUUUCUCUUCUGUAGGCUUUGUUUCCACAGAAAUUAGAGCAUGAACCUCUGGCUCUUCGGUUGCCUUUGU